rnacentral:tRNA from 1 species
UCCUCUGUAGUUCAGUCGGUAGAACGGCGGACUGUUAAUCCGUAUGUCACUGGUUCGAGUCCAGUCCAGAGGAGCCA